rnacentral:rRNA from 1 species
UGAGGAAUAUUGGUCAAUGGUCGGAAGACUGAACCAGCCAUGCCGCGUGCAGGAAGGAGGUCCUAUGGAUUGUAAACUGCUUUUUUCGGGGAAUAAUAAGACUUUUGCGAAGGUUGAUGCAGGUACCCGAAGAAUAAGGAUCGGCUAACUCCGUGCCAGCAGCCGCGGUAAUACGGAGGAUUCGAGCGUUAUCCGGAUUUAUUGGGUUUAAAGGGUGCGCAGGCGGCGCGCCAAGUCAGCGGUCAAAGUUCCGGGCUCAACCCGGUGUCGCCGUUGAAACUGGCGUGCUCGAGUGCGUGCGAGGAAGGCGGAAUGCGUUGUGUAGCGGUGAAAUGCAUAGAUAUGACGCAGAACUCCGAUUGCGAAGGCAGCUUUCCAGCGCGCUACUGACGC